CUCUUUUGUUUCUUUGGCUGGAACAUUAACCAAGGUCUGUAAUUUUUUCUUUAGGUUGAAUAGGAAAUAUGGAAAUAUGCUCUUUCUGGUGAUUUGGAGAAGUUGCAAAAAAUACAAAAGGAAAAAUGAUCACAUUAUUAAGGUUCAAAUGGAAUACUCUGGCUAUCAUUCACUGUUCAUGGUGAGUAUUGAACAGUAAAUUGAGUAUUCACCAUAAACAGGUACUGUUCCAAGUAGUUUACAUGGUUUAUUUCAUUUAAUUCUCACUACUCCAUGAAGUAGAUACUACUAAUUUCCCCAUUUGAUAGAAGAAGAAACUCAGUCUCAGGAAGGUUAAGUAAAAUAUCCAAGGUCUCAUAGCUAGUAAGUGCUAGAACCAAGAUUAGACUUGUAGCAGCCUGAUUUAAAACCUGCAUUAUUAAAGAAUAUUAUAGCAUGAAAAGUGCCUGCAAAUUCUCACUUAGAACUCUAAUGAAAAUAUGAUGGUUAUUUGUAGCUGUACCUCUAUCCCUCAAGUUCAGAAGGUCAUAGGACAACUACUUACUUGAAAGGGCAGAAGAGAGUCUAAUGUUAAUAAAAUUUAAAUUGGUUGAUAUUAUCAGUUUCUCUAAAUUGGGACAACUUGAAGCAGGAGUUCCAUUAGUUUGUCAAAGCAAUCUAAAAUUUUCAGAUACAUGAAACAUAAAUCUUUCUUGGGGUGGGGGUAGGAGUCUAGCCUAAGCCAGUCAAUGUUUCUUUUCUGUAUUACCAUGUGGCUGGAUACAACUAAAUUUUGUGAUAGCAAUGAUACCUUGAGAAAACGGGAAUGUAAAGAAAACUCAACCAUGUAAAAAACUCACCAUGUGAGUUAUUAUUUUAAACUUCUUUCCUUACCCAACCUGAUGAUUACCAGAACAGUUAAAAUGGACUAAUUCAAGUUUUCCCUUCUCUUUUCACUUGCAAAUGUGGGGAUGCUUAAGGAACAGUAUUAACUAUAAGCAGUAAAAAAAGGAAAUGGAAACUAUCCAAAUGAGCAUGGAUAAUCUGUAAACUACUAAGAGUUUCUUUCUUUAUAGUACAGGUUACUUAACACUUAUCUCUAUUUCUUUGCACAUAGGUAUACGUUUCUGCCAUUUAUAUUUGUAGAUUGUCUUUUCUAAUUUCCUUUUCCCUCCCUGAACUGCAGAUCCCUAAAGGAUAAAGGCAUAGCAUUGCCUAGACUACCAUGCUAUAUUUACUGCUUUGGCAUAUAUUCUGAGCCACAGGAUUUGCUAACUUGACACUUAACAUUUCAUAUCAUUUAUUUUUACCUAUUUAUUAUAUUGUUGCCAGUUGUCAUACAGUAUUCAGAAACAUAGUAAAGUUGAUACUAGGAAGUCAGCUGUUUUUACCUAGACUCCCCUAAAUCUUUUCACCAUUUGACUGACACUGAAAUAAUAUGCCUAUAUAAUUGCCUAAAUUAGAAAUCUAAAGAUUCAAGUAACUGCUUCACUCACUCCAAACUUAAUAGUUCCAGAUAAUUUGUUCUCUAUGGAAGAAGUCAAUUCUAACCUGAAAUUCUUUCAACAGCCUUGAAUAUAAGAAUACAGAUUGGGGGCAAGAUGGCGAAAGAGUAGGGUCCCCAAGUCACCUGUCCCGACCAAGUUACCUAGAUAAUUUUCAAAUCAUCUUGAAAACCUACGAAUUUGGCCUGAGAUUUAAAGAGAGAACAGCUGGAACGCUACAGAGAGAAGAGUUCGG
rnacentral:lncRNA from 1 species